rnacentral:rRNA from 1 species
AUACGGAGGAUCCGAGCGUUAUCCGGAUUUAUUGGGUUUAAAGGGAGCGUAGGCGGAGGAUCGAGUCAGCUGUGAAAUGUAGACGCUCAACGUCUGCACUGCAGUUGAAACUGGUCCCCUUGAGUGCGUAAGGGGCAGGCGGAAUUCGUCGUGUAGCGGUGAAAUGCUUAGAUAUGACGAAGAACUCCGAUCGCAAAGGCAGCUUGCCGGGCCGCAACUGACGCUGAAGCUCGAAGGUGCGGGUAUCGAACAGGAUUAGAUACCCUGGUAGUCCGCACAGUAAACGAUGGAUACUCGCUGUCGGCGAUAUACGGUCGGUGGCCAAGCGAAAGCGUUAAGUAUCCCACCUGGGGAGUACGCCGGCAACGGUGAAACUCAAAGGAAUUGACGGGG